CUGGAGUCUCGGAGUGAUAGAACAGGAGGUGAAGAGGUAAAAGUGGUACCCAUACCCUUGUACCUAAGGGGACCCCCAAAGACGUCUGCUUCAUAGGAAGUCACCAGUAAGGCUAUGUUCACACGAUGGAUCCAGGGAAUCUGGACUUGCUACCACAACAUAACACCCAAGCAUCUCAACCUACCUGAGCUCUCCAUAAUUCAUCUCCUUCAUGAGCUACACGCCAAUGAGUGUCCCCCAUCAUGGCAAUAAGAAGGUUCAACAUUAGAAGUGCAGCCACGAUAGCAAAGGCCGAAUACAUCAAGCUAAACAUGAAUGGACGGUGGACAAGGGUUGCUCAGUCUAUAACAAGUAAGGAGACAGCUAUAGUUUUUCUACACGCAACAGCCGGUAAUGGCGAGAAUACAAGGAGACAACUGAGGAUGACACUGUAAAAGAUGCUUCAUCUGAGACCUGCUGAAAAACAGUGUCACAUUCAUCUGCUUACAUACUGGAACCGCCGCCAGGAUCGGACAAUUUUUUUUUUAUUGCUUUUGCCAAAGUUUAACAGUUUAUUUACAUUUAAGAUUCAGCCAAACAAAUCACCGUAUAAAGAUGUUUUAUAUCUAUAUAUAUAUAUAAAUGUCAUCUCAGCGGUAGGAUUGUAAUAUGGAGGCUAUGACUGGCGGGAUCUGGUUUGGAGACGACUCACUUGAAAUAGUUUUUGUUUUGAAGGUUACGAGGUAAACGCAGUCUGAACUAGAUUCAUAAGAUAUGCCAUUCCAUAGAUAUUAAAUACAGUUAUUAAAAAUAUUUUUAUGGCUAUUGACUAUUCUAUGUCUAUAGUCUAUGGCUAUUCAUCACACUCCAUUAAAGUUUCUGAUGACCAGUUCGGCUGCUGCAGAUGCCGGUAGGACCACUAGUCUGCUGACUAUUGUUCCCUGCUAUACUCUCAUGAAGAUGUGCCCAUUUUUUAUGUAUACUACCUACAUUGCCUUAGUCCCCAGGAAACCUACUUAGACACCAGGAAACAUACUGCAAAAAAGGUAGGAGUGUUUUUCCAAUCAAGGUUUUCACAAGGAAAACAAUUUUGGUCCAAAAAAAUGCCAUGUGUGUAUUUUUUUGGUUUUUUGUUUUGUUGUACAAAAAACCCCCUGUCAGUUUUCUGCCAAAGACUUUAAGAACUCCUGGAAAAAAAU